rnacentral:rRNA from 1 species
GACGAACGCUGGCGGCGUGCUUAACACAUGCCAGUCGAACGGAAAGGCCCUGCUUGCAGGGUACUCGAGUGGCGAACGGGUGAGUAACACGUGGGUGAUCUGCCCUGCACUUCGGGAUAAGCCUGGGAAACUGGGUCUAAUACCGGAUAUGACCUUCCAUGUAGUGUGGGGGGUGGAAAGAUUUAUCGGUGUGGGAUGAGCCCGCGGCCUAUCAGCUUGUUGGUGGGGUAAUGGCCUACCAAGGCGUCGACGGGUAGCCGGCCUGAGAGGGUGGACGGCCACAUUGGGACUGAGAUACGGCCCAGACUCCUACGGGAGGCAGCAGUGGGGAAUAUUGCACAAUGGGCGGAAGCCUUAUGCAGCGACGCCGCGUGGGGGAUGACGGCCUUCGGGUUGUAAACCUCUUUCGACAGGGACGAAGCUUCGGUGACGGUACCUGUAUAAGAAGCACCGGCUAACUACGUG